rnacentral:rRNA from 1 species
GACGAACGCUGGCGGCGUGCUUAACACAUGCAAGUCGAACGGAAAGGCCCUGCUUUUGUGGGGUGCUCGAGUGGCGAACGGGUGAGUAACACGUGAGUAACCUGCCCUUGACUUUGGGAUAACUUCAGGAAACUGGGGCUAAUACCGGAUAGGAGCUCCUGCUGCAUGGUGGGGGUUGGAAAGUUUCGGCGGUUGGGGAUGGACUCGCGGCUUAUCAGCUUGUUGGUGGGGUAGUGGCUUACCAAGGCUUUGACGGGUAGCCGGCCUGAGAGGGUGACCGGCCACAUUGGGACUGAGAUACGGCCCAGACUCCUACGGGAGGCAGCAGUGGGGAAUAUUGCACAAUGGGCGGAAGCCUGAUGCAGCAACGCCGCGUGCGGGAUGACGGCCUUCGGGUUGUAAACCGCUUUCGCCUGUGACGAAGCGUGAGUGACGGUAAUGGGUAAAGAAGCACCGGCUAACUACGUGCCAGCAGCCGCGGUGAUACGUAGGGUGCGAGCGUUGUCCGGAUUUAUUGGGCGUAAAGGGCUCGUAGGUGGUUGAUCGCGUCGGAAGUGUAAUCUUGGGGCUUAACCCUGAGCGUGCUUUCGAUACGGGUUGACUUGAGGAAGGUAGGGGAGAAUGGAAUUCCUGGUGGAGCGGUGGAAUGCGCAGAUAUCAGGAGGAACACCAGUGGCGAAGGCGGUUCUCUGGGCCUUUCCUGACGCUGAGGAGCGAAAGCGUGGGGAGCGAACAGGCUUAGAUACCCUGGUAGUCCACGCUGUAAACGGUGGGUACUAGGUGUGGGGUCCAUUCCACGGGUUCCGUGCCGUAGCUAACGCUUUAAGUACCCCGCCUGGGGAGUACGGCCGCAAGGCUAAAACUCAAAGGAAUUGACGGGGCCCCGCACAAGCGGCGGAGCAUGCGGAUUAAUUCGAUGCAACGCGUAGAACCUUACCUGGGUUUGACAUGGAUCGGGAGUGCUCAGAGAUGGGUGUGCCUCUUUUGGGGUCGGUUCACAGGUGGUGCAUGGCUGUCGUCAGCUCGUGUCGUGAGAUGUUGGGUUAAGUCCCGCAACGAGCGCAACCCUUGUUCACUGUUGCCAGCACGUUAUGGUGGGGACUCAGUGGAGACCGCCGGGGUCAACUCGGAGGAAGGUGGGGAUGACGUCAAGUCAUCAUGCCCCUUAUGUCCAGGGCUUCACGCAUGCUACAAUGGCUGGUACAGAGAGUGGCGAGCCUGUGAGGGUGAGCGAAUCUCGGAAAGCCGGUCUCAGUUCGGAUUGGGGUCUGCAACUCGACCUCAUGAAGUCGGAGUCGCUAGUAAUCGCAGAUCAGCAACGCUGCGGUGAAGACGUUCCCGGG